UUUUAGCCCUGAUGGAAACGAUAUCCUUUUGUUUUUUUCUUUAGAAAACAAAAGAUAAAGUGUACAGCAGGAAUAGCU
rnacentral:sRNA from 1 species